UACGGAGGAUGCAAGCGUUAUCCGGAAUGCUUGGGCGUAAAGCGUCCGCAGGUGGCUGUGUAAGUCUGCUGUUAAAGAGUCUAGCUCAACUAGAUACAAGCAGUGGAAACUACACGGCUAGAGUACGUUCGGGGCAGAGGGAAUUCCUGGUGUAGCGGUGAAAUGCGUAGAGAUCAGGAAGAACACCGGUGGCGAAGGCGCUCUGCUAGGCCGUAACUGACACUGAGGGACGAAAGCUAGGGGAGCGAAUGGG
rnacentral:rRNA from 1 species